rnacentral:sRNA from 1 species
UCUCUCUUUUCUUUUUUCUUUUCUGUACUCUAUCCUGCAUUAGUUUCAGUCUGUGGUCAUUGGCCCCGCAAUACAACAGCGGAAACGUGCCCUGCGGACAUUUCUCAUAACCUCUAUCUCGGCAUUCUCAAGCAUGACAACGAUCUCGGCAAAUGAUGGGCGAACUUCAGGGUUUGCGUCCCAACAGCAAGUCAUGAUCUUGCUCAGAGAAUCCACACAAUCCUGCGGGAUUGCAGGACGAGAGCCCCUGUUUACGACAGCAAAUGCAGCCUGAACGGCUGUCAUGUUUGUGAAGGGGAGCAUGCCGGUUAUAAGCUCCCACAAGACAAUCCCAAAGCUGUAAACAUCUACUUUAUGAUCAUAAGGCCUGUGCUGGAUCAUCUCCGGUGCCAUCCAACGGUAGGUUCCUGUCUCUGGGGUCAUUCCCUCAGUUUGUACCUCAAUUCGAGCAACUCCAAAGUCAGCUAUCUUGAUGGAUUUGUCUGCUGAAAUUAGAAGGUUAUCUGAUUUUAGAUCCCUAUGGAUAAAUCGCAAGGCAUGCACAUAAGCCAUCCCCCGAGCAACAUCAAGUGCCUGCUUCACAGCCAGCCCCAGAGGCACAGACUUGUUCUGCCUUCGUGCAAGGAAUUGCCGAACAGAUCCACCUUUUGCAUAUUCAGUAAUGAUACACCAAACAAUUGAUUUCCGGCACGCCCCAAUGAACCUUACAAUAUUUGGGUGCCUCAACGUAGACAACAUCAUAACUUCCUGCACAAACUGCUGUUCCAUCAAUUGAGCUCUCUCUGGGUCAUUCUCAGGCUUUUCCAGCAGCUUAAUAGCAACGUCUUCUCCAUUGUAUGUUCCCCGAUAAAGCUUCCCAAAUGCCCCUUGAGCAAAAGGAGCUCCCAUGUCGAGCUUACCCAGAUCAAUGGUCCACUCCUCGUAAUUACUAAGUAUCUCCGUCGGAUGGCUUGGAUCCAUCAAUACCCGAGCCAAUGCAUCCUCAUUCAGAGUAGGCGCCAUAGCCCGGUUCGGAUGGAUGACGCUAUUGUGAACCGAAUAACUCGGCGCCGGCAUAUCACGGAGGCCAGGGUGUUUGAGCAUGACCGUGCGGGACUCGUUUGAUCCCACGCUGCUGUUAUCCACCGACAUGGCAACCGAACCACCAACAAAGUUCAUCAUGUUCAGGUUGUCGGCGUUAUCCACGGACAUGUGGGAGCUCUCCCCGACCUUGUGGUAGUAGGGCAUAUUGUGGAAGCCAUUCAUCUCGUUUUCUUGCCUUCCUCUGCAACCUAUACCACCUCCAAUUCCAGCACCGCCCAACAUAUUCUGAAACCUUGACCCCUCAAUCAUCUUCAAACAACCAACACUAACAGUAGGGUUGCUUUACGAAA